UCUGGGAAAUGAUGAUAAGAUAUAUCGAUAUCUCAGAGGCAUAUGCAAUGCUGAACCAAAUAUUUGCACGUCAGUCUGAUCCCAGC
rnacentral:snoRNA from 1 species